UACGACUACAUAUCAGGCAUAUCAAUAAGCGGAGGAAAAGAAACUAACUAGGAUUCCCUUAGUAACGGCGAGUGAAGCGGGAAGAGCUCAAAUUUGAGAUCUUCAAGGUUUUACCUUGACGAAUUGUAGUUUAAAGAAGUGUUUUCUGUUGAAGUUUUGGUAAAAGUUCUUUGGAAUAGGACAUCAUAGAGGGUGAGAAUCCCGUAUUUGACCAUUACUUCCAGCGUUGUGAUACACUUUCAAAGAGUCGGAUUGUUUGGGAAUGCAGUCCAAAAUGGGUGGUAAAUUUCAUCUAAAGCUAAAUAUUGGCGAGAGACCGAUAGCGAACAAGUACCGUGAGGGAAAGAUGAAAAGAACUUUGAAAAGAGAGUUAAACAGUACGUGAAAUUGUCAAAAGGGAAGCGUUUGACACCAGUGUUGUUUUCUCGAAAAUCAAUUAAAAAGUAUGGGAUUUUGUAUUGUUAAGACCUUAUCAGCUUACGGUACUUUUUUCUUAUUCUUUUUAAUGCACUUUUCGUUUAACAAGUCAACAUCAAUUUCUUUUGUUGUAAAAGAGUCAUUGGAAGGUGGCUUUCACUUCGGUGAAAGUGUUUAUAGCCUUUGGCUUCUGCAAUCGGAGAGAUUGAGGUCUGCAGCGUAGAUCCUUCGGGGUUAGAUACGUAGAUGCUAAGUUAUAGUUUUUCAUAGACAACUUGUUGACUAUGAUUAAUCAUGUAGCUUACUCGUUUGCGCUAUUUUACCUACGCUUAGGAUGUUGAAUCUGUGCGAGACUAC
rnacentral:rRNA from 1 species